rnacentral:rRNA from 1 species
GUAGGUGGCAAGCGUUGUCCGGAAUUAUUGGGCGUAAAGCGCGCGCAGGGCGGUCCUUUAAGUCUGAUGUGGAAGCCCACGGCUCAACCGUGGAGGGUCAUUGGAAACUGGGGGACUUGAGUACAGAAGAGGAAAGCGGAAUUCCAAGUGUAGCGGUGAAAUGCGUAGAGAUUUGGAGGAACACCAGUGGCGAAGGCGGCUUUCUGGUCUGUAACUGACGCUGAGGCGCGAAAGCGUGGGGAGCAAACAGGAUUAGAUACCCUGGUAGUCCACGCCGUAAACGAUGAGUGCUAAGUGUUAGGGGGUUUCCGCCCCUUAGUGCUGCAGCUAACGCAUUAAGCACUCCGCCUGGGGAGUACGGCCGCAAGGCUG